UAGAGGGGUAGGAAUUGAACCUACAACUAAGAGAUCAAAACUCUCCGUAAUUCCA
rnacentral:tRNA from 1 species